AGAGUUUGAUCAUGGCUCAGAACGAACGCUGGCGGCAGGCUUAACACAUGCAAGUCGAACGCGUGUAGCAAUACACGAGUGGCGCACGGGUGAGUAACGCGUGGAUAUCUGCCUUUUGGUUCGGAAUAACCCCGGGAAACUGGGGCUAAUACCGGAUGGUUCCUACGGGAUAAAGAUUUAUCGCCAAAAGAUGAGUCCGCGUACGAUUAGCUAGUUGGUGAGGUAAUGGCUCACCAAGGCGACGAUCGUUAGCUGGUCUGAGAGGACGAUCAGCCACACUGGGACUGAGACACGGCCCAGACUCCUACGGGAGGCAGCAGUGGGGAAUAUUGGACAAUGGGGGCAACCCUGAUCCAGCCAUGCCGCGUGAGUGAUGAAGGCCUUCGGGUUGUAAAGCUCUUUUGGCGGGGACGAUGAUGACGGUACCCGCAGAAUAAGCCCCGGCUAACUUCGUGCCAGCAGCCGCGGUAAGACGAAGGGGGCUAGCGUUGUUCGGAAUUACUGGGCGUAAAGCGUGUGUAGGUGGUUGCCAUAGUCAGGUGUGAAAGCCUUGAGCUCAACUCAAGAAAUGCACUUGAUACUGGGCGACUAGAGGACCGGAGAGGAUAGUGGAAUUCCCAGUGUAGUGGUGAAAUACGUAGAGAUUGGGAAGAACACCAGUGGCGAAGGCGGCUAUCUGGACGGUUUCUGACACUAAGACACGAAAGCGUGGGGAGCAAACAGGAUUAGAUACCCUAGUAGUCC
rnacentral:rRNA from 1 species